UACGGAGGAGGCAAGCGUUAUCCGGAAUUAUUGGGCGUAAAGCGUCCGCAGGUGGCGAUUCAAGUCUGCGGUCAAAGACUGGGGCUUAACCCUGGAAAGGCCGUGGAAACUGAAUAGCUAGAGUGCAGUAGGGGUAGGGGGAAUUCCCGGUGUAGCGGUGAAAUGCGUAGAGCUCGGGAAGAACAUCGGUGGCGAAGGCAGCUCUCUGGGACGGUACUGACGCUGAGACGCGAAAGCGUGGGGAGCGAACAGG
rnacentral:rRNA from 1 species